GCAGCCCUUCUUGCGGUUCCCCUCUCUCGGGGGUUAAGCGCCUCCACCUCCUGGAACCGCACCUCUCUGAGCCUUAGCACACCUGUCUCUCGCCAUGGGCCCCAUCAGCGAAUCCACUUGCUCUGGACCCUCCGGGGCCUCUAGUCCCAGAGGAAAUGAUGCAACCUGUUCUCUAGACCAGAGUGACUCUCAGCCAGCGUAAAACAGGAGGGUUUAUUGAGCAUCUGAACACAGCGUAGGAAAGUCUCAGGGCCCUCAGGCCUGGCCUCCCUCAGCACAGCACCUCCCAGUCUUCCCUGCAUCCAGGUGGGCUCUGCCUGCUCUCUCUUUCUCCAGCCCAGAGCUCUCUUGCUUCCCAGCUGGGCAUCUGAUAUCACCUGCCUUUCUGAAGUCCGUUGUCCUUAUUUUCCUGCUUUAACACCUUCCUUCUCUUAGAAUCACAAAAUCAUCAUUUCAUGAACACUUUUGCCCAUAUUGCUUUCCACCUUCCGCUUCCUAACUCCUGCCUGUUAGAAUCAACCCUAUGAUGUGGAAAAAUGAUCCACGUGUUGUCUUUGGAAUCAGAUUAGCCUGAGGCACCAUUAUUGAUUAUGAGCAUGCAAAGGGUGACAGCUAUUUGGAGCUGCCCCCCCGAUUCAAGGAACACACAGCUUUUUAAAGCUUAAAACCACAGAGAAAUUACACAUACUUCCGCAUCAGUUACCUUGUUUGGAAUACAUGGCAAAAUCAAUACAGGUCAAAAGCAAAAAGAACAAUCAUCUCCCUUAUUUGGCCCUUCCUGUUGUUGUUGUUCUCAGUCUGGUCCUUUUGCGGUUUGACUUUUCUAAUGCUUCUAUUGUGGUUAUAUAUGUCUUAAGCUUGGCUAUUGCAAAUUGUUCUGUUUGGGGACUUUCCACUUCACCUUCUCCUGCCCCCUAUACAUAGAAAGCCAUUGUUUGGUUUUGGGGACUUUUCAUUUGGCUCUUCAUAAACAAAAGAAGCUUGGCCAAUGCUUUGCGCCUAGUAGCUUGACCAACAUUGACGCCUACCAAAUUUUCCUUCACACCUAAAAUGCCUGGUGUCUGGUUAAAAUCCUCCUGGUUACUACUUCCAUCUUCUGAAGCAAACAAGUGUGCCCAACGCAUUCCAAGAGCUCAUUGGACACUUUGUCAUGCAAACAACAGAAAUAUUCAAAACACAAUUAGUAAUGGGGGGGGGGGGACAUGUGACUAACUACCGAGACACCUGUCAGAAAAGGAAUUCAAACAAACACAGAGUUGAGAACAUCCAUCUGCGAAGAAAGAGCCGGGGGGAACUGUGAUGGGAUGUGACUGUCGUGCUCUCACACUUCCCCUUCUUGCCCUGACAGGCUGCAGUGUCACAUCCCACCUUUCCAGGGAGCAGGGAAGGGAAAUGGCUGCCAUGGAGCCAGCUCAGGGUUUUCAGUUUCCAAACCCGAUGUCAUCUCCCAGCUGGAAUGAGGGGAAGAGCCGUGGGCCCCAGAUCUCCAGGGCUCAGAGGAAAGAGAGAUCCUGAGAGGCAGUUGCAUGGCAGGUGAGGGGAUGGUCAGAGAGACCAUGGAGCAGAAGCCUCAUCAGGAAGAGGAGCAAGUGAAAGCACGUGGGGCAUUGUUGCAAAGAUGCAAAGGGAGUGUGUCCAGGAGUUGUGAGCAGGGAAAAGGUUCUCAGGGGCAGCACAGGCCAGAGAAA